UACGUAGGGUGCGAGCGUUAAUCGGAAUUACUGGGCGUAAAGCGUGCGCAGGCGGUCUGUUAAGACAGAUGUGAAAUCCCCGGGCUUAACCUGGGAACUGCAUUUGUGACUGGCAGGCUAGAGUAUGGCAGAGGGGGGGUAGAAUUCCACGUGUAGCAGUGAAAUGCGUAGAGAUGUGGAGGAAUACCGAUGGCGAAGGCAGCCCCCUGGGCCAAUACUGACGCUCAUGCACGAAAGCGUGGGGAGCAAACAGG
rnacentral:rRNA from 1 species